UACAGAGGUCCCGAGCGUUGUUCGGAUUCACUGGGCGUAAAGGGUGCGCAGGUGGGUUGGUAAGUUUGAUGUGAAAGCCCCGGGCUUAACCCGGGAAUGGCAUUGAAUACUACUGAUCUGGAGGAUUGGAGGGGGGACUGGAAUUCUUGGUGUAGCAGUGAAAUGCGUAGAUAUCAAGAGGAACACCAGUGGCGAAGGCGAGUCCCUGGACAAUACCUGACACUGAGGCACGAAAGCUAGGGGAGCAAACAGG
rnacentral:rRNA from 1 species